CACAGUUUCUCUAGUGGGAUAUCUCAACUUCCUCAUGGAGAUAUAAGUUUAUGAUUAUAUGUUGUUAAAGUAACAAAAUUGUACUCCCAUGUGCAGUAAUGCAUAUCAGCACAUUAUUACAUAAAGUAAUCAUUUGGUUCUCCUUAUAGGUGCGGAGAAAACAAGUGGAGAAAGAUAUUGCUCUGAGGCUUGUGGAAGCUGGCUUUAACUUGAAGGCUGGAGACUUAGAUUUUAGCAGUAGAGACUGGUUCAUUUCCUAUGAUUCCCCUACCAAGUGCAUAGAGACUCAAUUAGAAGUUAAGUUGUCUCAGUCAUGGAGUCCUCGCUUGCCCAUGCUGCAGCAAACAAAUGUGUUUUUCCCCCCACAG